CUCUUAAGGUUAAUUGGUUAGCCUUUGUGAGCGUGAAAGCGCUUGCAAGUCGCUCUGUCCUUACGGUUUGGGGCAGUUGUUUGGCAACACCAUCGAAUUGCGGGAACAUCCUUACAGCUUGCACUACCAAGUCAAUGCAGAAAUGCAUCGAUGGCCAGGUUAAUAGCCUCGGGUAUGGUAAAAAUGUGCAAGAUUGGACAAUCCGCAGCCAAGCUCCUAUCGGUGAUCGAUGUUUAGCACCAAUGGAGAAGGUUCAACGACUAUGUGGUGGUGGGCGGUGGACAACCGCUUAAGAUAUAGUCUGGCCCUGCCGAGAGGCAGCC
rnacentral:ncRNA from 1 species